GCCCCGGUAGCUCAGUGGUAGGAGCUCCUAUGUGGUGUGAGCGAAAGCGCCUAGCAAUAAAUACGAGGAGAUCGCAGGUUCAAUCCUGCCCUCUGGCU